UAGGGAAUCUUCCGCAAUGGGCGAAAGCCUGACGGAGCAACGCCGCGUGAGUGAUGAAGGUCUUCGGAUCGUAAAACUCUGUUAUUAGGGAAGAACAAAUGUGUAAGUAACUAUGCACGUCUUGACGGUACCUAAUCAGAAAGCCACGGCUAACUACGUGCCAGCAGCCGCGGUAAUACGUAGGUGGCAAGCGUUAUCCGGUAUUAUUGGGCGUAAAGCGCGCGUAGGCGGUUUUUUAAGUCUGAUGUGAAAGCCCACGGCUCAACCGUGGAGGGUCAUUGGAAACUGGAAAACUUGAGUGCAGAAGAGGAAAGUGGAAUUCCAUGUGUAGCGGUGAAAUGCGCAGAGAUAUGGAGGAACACCAGUGGAGAAGGCGACUUUCUGGUCUGUAACUGACGCUGAUGUGCGAAAGCGUGGGGAUCAAACAGG
rnacentral:rRNA from 1 species